AAAUGCAUACACACCGAGGGAGAGGAGGACAGUGUCAGUUGCGUUCCCACUCUCUCUCUCUCUCUCUCUCUCUCUCUCCCGCUCGCUCUCCUCUCUACGUCUCAUCUGGUCUCAUCUCAUCUCUGUAGUUCAGCAUGCUCUGGAGGCUGCUCUCUGUCUGGGCUACUGGGACUCUGCUCACUCUGGGGCUCUGCUGGGGCAGGAGUAUUGAAGAAUAUGAAGAAUAUGAGUUAACGACACCUGACUAUGACUAUGAAAACGCCACUUUUGAAUACUACUUUUUCAAUAAUGCCAGCAUAAAUUAUGAGCUAUAUGAAGUACUUAAUGGAAAAGGUGAUGAAAAAGAGGAUGGAAAGUCAACAGAAACAACAAGAACAACUGGAACAACAGGAACGGCCUCAGACAUCGCACAUUCAGCUCCCAUCAUCCUCCUGGCUCUCUCCAUGCAGCAACUCUUUCACCCACUUUAGACCGGACCAAAUACAUCGGCAGGAGCACGGAGGGUAAUGAUGAUGAGGCCAAGAGAAAAGGGAGAGAAACAGCGCAGACCGCCUCUCAGACCGCCUGCACAUCCUCAGUCAUAACAGCACUGACAUUUCAGGUCUUUGCAGGGAGAAGCAGAGUUGUAUAAAGUAGAAGUAGAAAUACUCUUACAAUUUCAACACAAGGUAUAUAUUACAUGGUUCCAACUUUUUAAUAGCUAUGAGUAUCUUAAUUACAUCUGUAUUUCUACUUAUGCUUUAUACAACUCUGCAAAGAAGUGCAUUUUUAUUAAAUGAUUGUUUUAUAUCAAAGCCAUACUUUUCAAUGCCUCCAAUGACUUGAUUACGAAACUGCAUUGUAAGUAAUUUGUACAUAGCUGGCUAGAAUUGUUGGAGCACUUCUAUAGUGCUGCUCAGACUAAACAAUUCUCUGUCUGCACAAGAUUUAUAUACAGAGUUUUCUCAUGGAAAUGACCAAGUCAUGUUUAUAUUUUAGUACAGAGGAGAUUAGACUUUUCAGCAAUAAAUAUUUGACCCAUAACCCUAAAUGUAAUUUAAAACUGAAUUGAGAAUUGUUGUUACAAUGUCGCUGAAAAAAUAAACAGACUUUUAUUA